rnacentral:rRNA from 1 species
GUGGUAAUGCCGGAUGUUCCACAUGAUCGCAUGUGAUUGUGGGAAAGAUUCUAUCGGCGUGGGAUGGGGUCGCGUCCUAUCAGCUUGUUGGUGAGGUAACGGCUCACCAAGGCUUCGACGGGUAGCCGGCCUGAGAGGGCGACCGGCCACAUUGGGACUGAGAUACGGCCCAGACUCCUACGGGAGGCAGCAGUGGGGAAUAUUGCACAAUGGGCGCAAGCCUGAUGCAGCGACGCCGCGUGAGGGAUGGAGGCCUUCGGGUUGUAAACCUCUUUUGUUUGGGAGCAAGCCUUCGGGUGAGUGUACCUUUCGAAUAAGCGCCGGCUAACUACGUGCCAGCAGCCGCGGUAAUACGUAGGGCGCAAGCGUUAUCCGGAUUUAUUGGGCGUAAAGGGCUCGUAGGCGGCUCGUCGCGUCCGGUGUGAAAGUCCAUCGCUUAACGGUGGAUCUGCGCCGGGUACGGGCGGGCUGGAGUGCGGUAGGGGAGACUGGAAUUCCCGGUGUAACGGUGGAAUGUGUAGAUAUCGGGAAGAACACC